CCUACGGGUGGCAUCAGUGAGGAAUAUUGGUCAAUGGGCGGAAGCCUGAACCAGCCAAGUAGCGUGCAGGAUGACUGCCCUAUGGGUUGUAAACUUCUUUUAUAUGGGAAUAAAGUGUUCCACGUGUGGGGUUUUGUAUGUACCAUAUGAAUAAGGAUCGGCUAACUCCGUGCCAGCAGCCGCGGUAAUACGGAGGAUCCGAGCGUUAUCCGGAUUUAUUGGGUUUAAAGGGAGCGUAGGUGGAUUGUUAAGUGAGUUGUGAAAUUUUGCGGCUCAACCGGAAAAUUGCAGUUGAAACUGGCAGUCUUGAGUACAGGAGAGGUGGGCGGAAUGCGUGGUGUAGCGGUGAAAUGCUUAGAUAUCACGAAGAACUCCGAUUGCGAAGGCAGUUUACUGGAGCGCAACUGACACUGAGGCUCGAAAGCGUGGGUAUCAAACAGGAUUAGAUACCCUAGUAGUC
rnacentral:rRNA from 1 species